AUUGAACGCUGGCGGCAUGCUUUACACAUGCAAGUCGAACGGCAGCGCGGGCUUCGGCCUGGCGGCGAGUGGCGAACGGGUGAGUAAUGCAUCGGAACGUGCCCAGUAGUGGGGGAUAGCCCGGCGAAAGCCGGUUUAAUACCGCAUACGACCUGAGGGUGAAAGCGGGGGACCGAAAGGCCUCGCGCUAUUGGAGCGGCCGAUGUCGGAUUAGCUAGUUGGUGGGGUAAAGGCUUACCAAGGCGACGAUCCGUAGCUGGUCUGAGAGGACGACCAGCCACACUGGGACUGAGACACGGCCCAGACUCCUACGGGAGGCAGCAGUGGGGAAUUUUGGACAAUGGGGGCAACCCUGAUCCAGCCAUGCCGCGUGCGGGAAGAAGGCCUUCGGGUUGUAAACCGCUUUUGUUCGGGAAGAAAUCCUCUGGGCUAAUACCCCGGGGGGAUGACGGUACCGGAAGAAUAAGCACCGGCUAACUACGUG
rnacentral:rRNA from 1 species